rnacentral:lncRNA from 1 species
AUUUACCAUAAAAAAUAAUGUUAAAUUUGAAAAAAAAUAAUUUGUCGCGCCACUUCCCAAAAAUAAAAAUAAAAUGCGCGCAUGCCUCCCCCUCUGCAAGUUAAAUGGUCUGUCCCUAAAGAUCAUAUAAAAUGUGUCGAUACGUUGCUUAUAAGGAUCUGAAAACGCUCAAUUUUACUUUCUGUUUAAAGAUCUUUUGAGGUUCUCUUAAUUUGUCGGAUUAAUACACACUUUUAAAAUUUGAAAGCUUAAAUUUUUAUUAGCUGAUGUAAAAACUACCAGGACAGAAAGUAAAACGGAGUGUUGUCAGAUCCUUGUACGCAAACUUUUUAAGAGUAGACACGGGAUUUGAAUUUUGAUUUAAUUUGGUUUGAAUAUAAAUAAAAAUUUAUG